rnacentral:tRNA from 1 species
GAGGGUAUAGCUCAGGGGUAGAGUGCAGCCUAGCAUGCAUGAGGUCCUGGGUUCAAUCCCCAGUGCUCCA